rnacentral:rRNA from 1 species
UGGGGAAUUUUGGACAAUGGGCGAAAGCCUGAUCCAGCCAUGCCGCGUGAGUGAAGAAGGCCUUCGGGUUGUAAAGCUCUUUUAGUCGGAAAGAAAGAGUUGCAAUGAAUAAUUGUGAUUUAUGACGGUACCGACAGAGAAAGCACCGGCUAACUACGUGCCAGCAGCCGCGGUAAUACGUAGGGUGCGAGCGUUAAUCGGAAUUACUGGGCGUAAAGGGUGCGCAGGCGGUCUUGCAAGUCAGAUGUGAAAGCCCCGGGCUUAACCUGGGAAUUGCGUUUGAAACUACAAGACGAGAGGGCAGCAGAGNGGAGUGGAAUUCCAUGUGUAGCAGUGAAAUGCGUAGAGAUGUGGAAGAACACCGAUGGCGAAGGCAGCUCCCUGGGUUGACACUGACGCUCAUGCACGAAAGCGUGG